rnacentral:rRNA from 1 species
UCUAGCAUGUGCGCGAGUCAUUGGGACUUUUUUUCAGGAAAGCCCAGAGGCGCAAUGAAAGUGAAGAUCGGCCUUUUCGGCUCGAUCGAGGGAGGAUGGCUCGUUGUUAUUUUUUUAUAAUGACGGGCUCGCACUCCCGGGGCGUCUCGCGCUCAUUUCGAGCGGAGGCGCACCCAGAGCGUACACGCUGGGACCCGAAAGAUGGUGAACUAUGCCUGGUCAGGACGAAGUCAGGGGAAACCCUGAUGGAGGUCCGUAGCGAUUCUGACGUGCAAAUCGAUCGUCGGAACUGGGUAUAGGGGCGAAAGACUAAUCGAACCAUC